rnacentral:rRNA from 1 species
GACGAAGGGGGCUAGCGUUGUUCGGAAUUACUGGGCGUAAAGCGCGUGUAGGCGGUUGUUCAAGUCAGGUGUGAAAGCCUUGAGCUCAACUCAAGAAAUGCACUUGAUACUGGAUAACUAGAGGACCGGAGAGGAUAGUGGAAUUCCCAGUGUAGUGGUGAAAUACGUAGAGAUUGGGAAGAACACCAGUGGCGAAGGCGGCUAUCUGGACGGUUUCUGACGCUAAGACGCGAAAGCGUGGG